rnacentral:rRNA from 1 species
GACGAACGCUGGCGGCGUGCUUAACACAUGCAAGUGGAGCGACGAACCAGGCUUCGGCCUGGGGCAAAGCCGCGAACGGGUGAGUAACACGUGGGUAACCUGCCCCGAAGACUGGGACAACCCGGGGAAACCCGGGCUAAUACCAGAUGUGGUCUCCGUCCAUAAGGACGGCGACUAAAGGGAGCUUCGGCCCCCGCUUCGAGAUGGGCCCGCGGCCCAUUAGCUUGUUGGUGAGGUAACGGCUCACCAAGGCUGCGAUGGGUAGCUGGUCUGAGAGGACGAUCAGCCACACUGGGACUGAGACACGGCCCAGACUCCUACGGGAGGCAGCAGUGGGGAAUCUUGCGCAAUGCGCGAAAGCGUGACGCAGCAACGCCGCGUGGGGGAAGAAGGCCUUCGGGUUGUAAACCCCUUUCAGGAGGGACGAAGCUUCGGGAGCGAAUAGCUUUCCGGAGUGACGGUACCUUCAGAAGAAGCCCCGGCUAACUACGUGCCAGCAGCCGCAGUAACAC